UGAUCCUCUACUGGAGUUCAAAACAGAAAGUC
rnacentral:piRNA from 1 species